GUUUAGCUCUUAUAGAGUUUUCAUAUUUAAUAUAUAUUUUAAUUAAAGGAAAGCUGCAGAAUUUCGAUCCACGUAUUCAGCUAUUCUUCAUGGAGUUGUGCCUUUUGAUAGAAAUCUUCUCAUUUUAAGAGCUCUACUCUGAGAAACUCCUUAAUGGAAGAACAGUCUCCAGUAAGAUCAAGAGUCAGUAGACGCCAGCACUCUGCAGCUGAAUUGAGGCUUUCAUGUGGCUGGGUUACUAUGAGCCAUCCAUUGUUCCUAUUGUUCUGUAGAUCUUUGUUGGAAUGUUGUUGAUAUUCAUUGAUUUCUCAAGGCAAGUACUGGAGCUCAGUGAAAUUUCCUUCUAAAGAGAAAGUGUACAACAGGAGAAUUCAGAUGUCCUUACACUGCCUUCUUCAUGCUUCUGACUUCCACCUCCCUCCAAGGAAGGAGAAUUUUGUGGGAAACAGAAAAUAUGGAAUGGUCCAACACACUGAACUACCCUCGUCCUUACAGAGAAAAGCAGAGAAGGUGAAAAGCUCCAUUCACCUGCUGAAAAUGCCAGAUGACCAGAAGCAAAGCAAGACUAGUUGGGGAGCAUUGAGCAGAGUGAUGAACUGCAUUUCAUCCAACCCAAAAUAUGUCUGGCUUCUUUACCAUGUGCACUGCAAACCUGCUGACUUCCUGCUUCUCUCAUUAAUGGCUGGAUGA
rnacentral:lncRNA from 1 species